rnacentral:rRNA from 1 species
AUUGAACGCUGGCGGCAGGCCUAACACAUGCAAGUCGAGCGGAGCGGCGGACGGGUGAGUAAUGCCUAGGAAUCUGCCUGGUAGCGGGGGAUAACGUCCGGUAACGGGCGCUAAUACUGCAUACUAUCAGAUGAGCCUAGGUCGGAUUAGCUAGUUUGUGGGGUAAAGGCCUACGAAGGCGACGAUCCGUAACUGGUCUGAGAGGAUGAUCAGUCACACGGGAACUGAGACACGGUCCAGACUCCUACGGGAGGCAGCAGUGGGGAAUAUUGGACAAUGGGCGAAAGCCUGAUGCAGCCAUGCCGCGUGUAUGAAGAAGGUCUUCGGAUGGUAAAGCACUUUAAGUUGGGAGGCGUUACCAACAGAAGAAGCACCGGCUAACUUCGUGCCAGCAGCCGCGGUAAUUC